GAAUGAGCUCAGCAAAAGCUGCAUUGGAGAGCGAUACAAAAGUGCUGGCUUUUGAACUGCACUUGCUUGCCACAAAGCAUCAGAUGUUUCAUCUGAUUCCAACACCUCAGGGAGCUUUUAUGUACUUAAUGACAUAUUCCGUCUCAA